GUUCCAGGCUGGAUAUCAUCAUAUACUGUAAGUUGGAAUGAGACACUACAGUAUAGAUGAUGUACUACCUUGAACUC